rnacentral:rRNA from 1 species
GAUCAUGGCUCAGGACGAACGCUGGCGGCGUGCCUAAUACAUGCAAGUAGAACGCACAGUUUAUACCGUAGCUUGCUACACCAUAGACUGUGAGUUGCGAACGGGUGAGUAACGCGUAGGUAACCUGCCUGGUAGCGGGGGAUAACUAUUGGAAACGAUAGCUAAUACCGCAUAAUAUUAAUUAUUGUCAUGAUAAUUAAAUUUAGUAAAGGGUAGGCAAUUAGUCACCACCUACCACGAUGGACCG